CACCUUUAAAAUAAUCAAACUCCACCUCCCCAAUUGGAUUGGAUUUUCUAGCGUAGCUAGGCAAUGGGACGCUUUCUGGUGAUUGGGACGAAUUCUUCGGGGUCAAUUCACUGCCGUGCUUGAGCUGCAAAUUCCUUCAUUAUUUCAUCAUCUCAAACAUCCAUAUUUAGCGAUUCUUGUAUUGUAAUUCUCAUCCCCUUUUGCCCAAUUAAAUAGCAGUGAACAGUUGGCGUUUGGCUGCCUAGAAAGUUCAGAUCGAUGGCGGCUGUUUCUUUCUUUCCGUUUGUGGCCUUGUAUUUCCUGUCUCAUCCCGCUGUUUCUGCUCAUGAUAACAGCAACAAUAAUACCAAGAUUAGCUGUCCCAAGUCGUCUCGCUGCGGAAAUUCCGGACCACUUUAUUUUCCUUUCUCCAAUCUGUUCAAUCCCCAGUGCGGGCUGUGCACUGUGUUUUGCAAUCAUAGCGAACAUCGUGUAAAAGGAAUCUCUUUCGGAAGUGAAAAAGAAACCUACUUUCCGAUAACUGAAAUCUCAUCCUGGCCCAGCGGUAACGGCAGUGUUAAAGUCCAUGACCCAGAGUUCACAAAACGUUUACGUGCCGGCGAUUGCAGUGGCUUCAGGAAUUUGAGCUUACCCAAUUCUCCUUCUCUUUCCUUCACUAUCCCUCACAAUCUCACCCUCUUCAAGUGCAGGAAAAGCUCUCUACCUAGCCCUCCCGCACACGAUGAGUAUUUCAACUACACAGGCUGUCAUGAGUUCUGUUUGUACUACAACAAGCAUCCACUUGAUGUUCAUCACAACGUUUCUGCUUCUGGCGAUUCUUUUCAUGGCUGCGACACCAUUCUUCUGCCUUUGACUUCGACGCCAUCUAAAAAUAAAACUGAACCUGGUGAGAACGCUGACCAUCUAUUAAAACUAUUGACCGGUACCUAUUAUAUCGAAUUGCAAGCGUCCGACGAUUGUCUCAAAUGUCACGGGAGAGGAGGCCAAUGCCUGACCAUCAACAAAAAAUUUAACUGCACAGAAAAAAACGGGCCAAACCUCAAAUUGAUCCUUCCCUUAGUCACUGCCGGAGCCCUUGCCAUUAGCUUGACUAUUGUAUUGAUUAUCCGUCGAUGCAAAAGACGGAAGUAUGUCUCUUCACAUCUGUUGUCAAGGAACAUUUCCGCCGAUCCUUCAGCUGAGAUUGAAUUCAGCGGUGUCUUCUUCGGAGUUCCUGUCUUCAAAUAUGCUGAACUUGAACAAGCGACAGACAAUUUCCAUCCUUCCACUGAACUCGGAGAUGGAGGUUUCGGCACUGUCUACCAUGGGAUACUUCAGGAUGGAAGGGAAGUGGCAGUUAAACGCCUAUACGAACACAACUCGAGACGCGUGAUGCAAUUCCUGAAUGAAGUCGAAAUCCUAACCUGCCUGCGCCAUCCCAAUCUUGUUUCCCUUUACGGCUGCACUUCACGCCACAGCCGGGAACUGUUGCUUGUUUAUGAGUACAUUCCUAAUGGCACUCUGGCCGAUCACAUCCAUGGCGACCGAGCCAAGGAUGGCUUGCUCACAUGGCCUAUUCGGAUGAGCAUAGCCGUGGAAACUGCCAGUGCAUUGGCUUACCUCCACGCUACUGAUGUCAUCCACCGUGAUGUCAAGACUGACAACAUAUUACUUGACAACAAUUUUUCUGUCAAAGUUGCUGAUUUCGGGCUUUCAAGACUCCUCCCAACCGAUGUAACACACAUCUCGACAGCUCCUCAGGGGACUCCCGGCUAUGUUGAUCCGGAAUAUUACCAAUCUUACCAACUUACUGAUAGGAGUGACGUUUAUAGCUUUGGAGUUGUGCUCAUUGAGCUCAUAUCAUCCAUGCCUGCCGUUGACGUUAGCAGACAUAGGCAUGAGAUUAAUUUGGCUAACUUAGCAAUAAACAGAAUCCAGAACCGUGCAUUCAAUGAGCUGAUUGACCCUUCUCUUAGGUUUGAGUCAAACACUUCAGUCGAAAGGAUGGCUACAUCAAUGGCAGAGGUGGGUUUCCGAUGCCUACUACUCGAAAAGGAAAUGAGGCCAAGCAUGAAUGAAGUUUUGGAGGCUUUGAAGGAAAUUCAAGAUUACAAAGACGAGGAGAACAAUAGGGAACAAAUUGACAAUUCAGAGCCCUUAAAUCAUAGAUGGCCUCAUCCUUCCCCUGAGGGUGAGGAUGCUGUGUUGUUGAAGAGUGGCAAGGUGCAACCUUCACCCGAUUCUGUAACCAAUGCUCACAGAUGGGUUAGUGGCUCUACCACAUCCAUGUCCAGUGGAUAAGGCUUCAUUUUCAAACACCGAAAAAAGAUGUCUCCAGUGCACAAGGAUCGGGCUCGUGGUUCACCAGUGAGUUGUUUGAUUUUGUUUUCUUCUCUUCUCCUUGUUUUGAUAUUGACAAAUAUGAUACCAAGAAAUUAUACUGGCUGAUGUAUAUUGUAUGGAGCUCCCAUUUGUACAUGCAGAGUUUUGUUUGAAGAUUACGGAAGUUUUAUCUCAUCUUUGAUUGCGUUUCCUUUUCCUGCUGGCGAAGGGAAAUAGAUGAAAAUGAAGGGGGAAAACACUGAAAUUGGAUUUAUUUUUUAAAUACUGAUAUGAAUGUUGCAGUGAAUAAUUGAUUCCCAAGGCGAAACCAGAAAAUUGCGAAGGUUUUGGGUCCUGCGUUCAAGGAAUUGGCACCUGUAAUGUUACUGUUCAAAUAAGUACUAUAAGAGCUGUUAGGAUAUAUGAUUCAAAAUGAAUUUUCAUAUAUUUAAUUAUGUGCUUUCUGUUUGCAUUUUAAUGUA